UGCCCGCUGUCUUUGCAUGUCGCCCGGUUGUCUGUACUCGCCAAACCUUCCUCUGUAUCUGACCGUCACCCAUUUCGUUAGUCUGUGCGUCACUCGCUCGUUAUAUUUGCCCGUUGACCGCCCGAUCGGCCGCAAUUGGCUGUAAUCGGGUAAGCCGAUCUGAUCUCCCCGAAAAUUUUCGAUCUGGUACGAUCUAUUUUGGUUCUUUUGAAAGAGAUCGGUUCAGUCCGCUUUUUUCGGUGCGAAAUCGCACGAUCUGCUGUCAGUUUGAAAAAUGGUGGCUUAGAGACUAUCAAUGAAGUCAACACUGAUAGAUUGCAAAGGGUAGACCUUGUUUGACUAGUAAAAGCGGCUCAGUCUACCUAUCUUGAAAAGUAUUCUACUUGGAUCGCGUCAAUUUGACUGUUUUUGGUGACGACCCGUGAUUUACCCGGGAAGAGCAAACCGGGGCCGAACCCUUCUCGUUCACAAAUAAAUAACUUGUGCUAGAUGCGUAUUAGACGAGUUAGUACUAUUCCGCCAGGAAUAUCCCGUAUUUUUUUUUAAACAGCGUACACAACCAUGACAACACAUAAAAAACAAAAAUAUCCUACUCGUAGAAAACAGCAGUUAAUCUCGUAAAUUUUUUAUUUUUUCUUCAUUUGCUUCUUUCAACAUAUUAUUAAAUAUUUUUAUUAUAAAAAGUGGACUUCGCUACCAAGGAGGACAUCGUGCACGUUUCACGAUGCAUCUUAAAUUAUCAAGAUUUUAUUUAUGGUCCUGUAUGAACCGAAACAAGAAAAAAGGCGUUUCACAAGGGUAAUACACCUAAACACCAAAAUAAACAACGGCUUAGCUGCAUAGGCAACAUAUAUGAAAUCUUACCUUUUUUUUCAAGGAAAAAGCAGCUCUAUUAUGAUUAAUAUAUAUAAAAUGGUGUUUGAUGGGACUUGCCUUGUAUUGUUCUCUUUCAGCGAGACGGAGAGGACGAACCAACUACAUUCAUAUAGACGCCCAGUCACUUAACUUAUGGUACACUAUAGUGUGAGAUUGGUAAGACAGCAAAAGAAAAAGAGAACCGACCAUCAGUGAUUAAACGUACUUACGUGAUUGAUAUUUCCGUUAUGAGGUAUAACGAUUCGGAUAGUCCGAUCAAUCAAGAAUGAAGGAAAAAAUUUUUAAAAAAUGUCUACACUCACUUAGAUGGCGCCUGCAAAGACCACGCAUACUCGGGGAGAGAAACGAGAUGAAAGAUUUGGAAAAAAAAGUAAUUCAAAUUUUAAUGAGAAAAAAAAAAAUUAAAAAAAUUAUUGUUAGUCAUGAUCACGAGGGAGAAUUAAAGAACGACA